UACGAACUGUGCAAACGUUAUUCGGAAUCACUGGGCUUAAAGGGCGCGUAGGCGGGCUGCCGCGUCCGGGGUGAAAUCCCACGGCUCAACCGUGGAACGGCCCCGGGUACGGGCGGCCUCGAGGGGGGUAGGGGCGUGCGGAACUGUGGGUGGAGCGGUGAAAUGCGUUGAUAUCCACAGGAACUCCGGUGGCGAAGGCGGCACGCUGGACCCUCUCUGACGCUGAGGCGCGAAAGCCAGGGGAGCGAACGGG
rnacentral:rRNA from 1 species